ensembl:lncRNA novel transcript
CAAACUCCGCUCCCGCUCUUUCUUCUCUGCUGUGACACCCUCCAAGGCUGCAACUUUCAUCCGUAAUGGAUUCGUUUACACUUGGUCAAGGCUCUCGACAACAGUGGGACCAAAACCCAGAGGUUCACAGAAACUACAAUAGUCACCGUGAGUCAGGCCAGUCUGCCCAGAGGAUGGCCUGCAGGACUGCCCACAGCAUUUGGAGGCCAGGCCUCAGCUGCAUCUCUGAAGCCCAGGCAAAGGCGGCCCUGGGGAAGGUGGAACACCAGCAUUUCUACUGAUGCUCUGGGGUCCUGCAGAACCCUGACUGUGCCACAGACCUUCUGUACCGUGUCCAUUUCCAUAUAAUCUAAUAAAUCCUUCUUACAAAGGAA